rnacentral:lncRNA from 1 species
GCUUGAUAUUUAUUGAAAAUAAUGCCAAUGCUUUUUCCAGGUAGUAUUGAGGAGCUGGGCUCAGUGCUUGUUUGUUUUGUUUUUAAGUACUAUUUGUCCAAAUGCACACAUCUGUGGGACUGCUGCAAUUUUGAAAGAAAAAUGACAGCUGUGUAAAACCAGUGCAUAGGAAAAAAGAAGUGUCAACAAUUUGGCUGCCAGGCACACCGCGCCCCUGCAGCAAUCUGGUGGGGCAGGGGAGGACACUCGGAGUAGGUAGAAAACUAACCAGGCUGAACGGCCCCUUCAGGGGUUGGUGAGCUGUCCAAAUCAAUGUCUGAAAAGGCAUAGCCAACUCUGGCAUUUUCCAGGUUGGUCCUGAUCUCGAAAGGUGGUAGUCUGUAGGUGGGAUGUGGUGAGUGGAUGUGAAGUGGCAGCAUAGUUCUCUGGGAAGAUGUAAGCCUGGCAGCAGGGCAGGUGGCAGCAGCAGGGCUAUGGGUGGUCUGCGGAGUUUGUAACAGGGGCCUGGCCAAUAGCUGGGGUUCAGGACACAGUUCAGAUUAGCAGGGGAGGGAUCCCGGGGAUGGCCAGGGUAGAUGACACUUCCAAGCACUUCCGAGUGAGUGAGGCUCCAGCCCCGACCCCAGCAGCAGGUAACUGGAGCGCUAUUCCUGGAACAAAGACAAGCACUACGGAGAAAUGAAGAGAGAGAGCAGACGGGCGCGGAUACGCCAGUGAAGACUAUAGCUUCCACUCACUCCUUUCUGCCUCCUGGUGUUCACCCACGUGUCCCUGCAUGAUGUGGUGAGCCU